rnacentral:rRNA from 1 species
GAUGAACGCUGGCGGCGUGCCUAAUACAUGCAAGUCGAGCGAACAGACGAGGAGCUUGCUCCUCUGACGUUAGCGGCGGACGGGUGAGUAACACGUGGAUAACCUACCUAUAAGACUGGGAUAACUUCGGGAAACCGGAGCUAAUACCGGAUAAUAUAUUGAACCGCAUGGUUCAAUAGUUAAAGACGGUUUUGCUGUCACUUAUAGAUGGAUCCGCGCCGCAUUAGCUAGUUGGUAAGGUAACGGCUUACCAAGGCGACGAUGCGUAGCCGACCUGAGAGGGUGAUCGGCCAAACUGGAACUGGGACACGGUCCAGGCUCCUACGGGAGGCAGCAGUAGGGAAUCUUCGGCAAUGGGCGAAAGCCUGACGGAGCAACGCCGCGUGAGUGAUGAAGGUCUUCGGAUCGUAAAACUCUGUUAUUAGGGAAGAACAAAUGUGUAAGUAACUAUGCACGUCUUGACGGUACCUAAUCAAAAAGCCACGGCUAACUACGUG